rnacentral:rRNA from 1 species
AACCCAGACUCCUACGGGAGGCAGCAGUGGGGGAUAUUGCACAAUGGGGGAAACCCUGAUGCAGCGACGCCGCGUGUGGGAAGACGGUCUUCUGGAUUGUAAACCACUGUCCCCAGGGACGAAAAUGACGGUACCUGGGGAGGAAGCUCCGGCUAACUACGUGCCAGCAGCCGCGGUAAUACGUAGGGAGCAAGCGUUGUCCGGAAUUACUGGGUGUAAAGGGAGCGUAGGCGGGGAUGCAAGUUGGGUGUCAAAACUACCGGCUCAACCGAUAGUCGCACUCAAAACUGCAACUCUUGAGUGAAGUAGAGGUUGGCGGAAUUCCGAGUGUAGCGGUGAAAUGCGUAGAUAUUCGGAGGAACACCGGUGGCGAAGGCGGCCAACUGGGCUUUAACUGACGCUGAGGCUCGAAAGUGUGGGGAGCAAACAGGAUUAGAUACCCCAGUACA